rnacentral:rRNA from 1 species
GCCUACGGGGGGCAGCAGUGGGGAAUAUUGCACAAUGGAGGAAACUCUGAUGCAGCGAUGCCGCGUGAGGGAAGAAGGUUUUCGGAUUGUAAACCUCUGUCUUAAGGGACGAUAAUGACGGUACCUUAGGAGGAAGCUCCGGCUAACUACGUGCCAGCAGCCGCGGUAAUACGUAGGGAGCGAGCGUUGUCCGGAAUUAUUGGGUGUAAAGGGUGCGUAGACGGGAAUGCAAGUUAGUUGUGAAAUCCCUCGGCUUAACUGAGGAACUGCAACCAAAACUACAUUUCUUGAGUGCAGGAGAGGUA